CGCGGUAUUACGCCCGUGCGAAGGUAGCAUAAUCAUUAGUCUUUUAAUUGGAGGCUGGAAUGAAUGGUUGGACGAGAAAUAAACUGUCUUUGUCCUAAAAAUUGAAUUUAACUUUUAAGUGAGAGGGCUUAAAUGUAUUAAAGGGACGAUAAGACCCUGUAAAGUUUAUACAUUAAGUUAAUUAAAAAUAAUUAAGGAGAUUAAAAUUUAUUAUUGGGUAGAUGUUUAGUUGGGGCGACUAGGAUAUAAUUUAAUUAUAACUGUCUUAGAUUAAGGUCAAAGAUAUUUGAGUUUGUGAUCCUUUCUUAGGAUUCAAGAACAAGUUACUUCAGGGAUAACAGCGUAAUUUUUUUUGAGAGUUCUUAUCGACAAAAGAGUUUGCGACCUCGAUGUUGAAUUAAAAGUUUCUCUGAAGUGUAGCAAUUUCAGGAGAAGGU
rnacentral:rRNA from 1 species